GAUGAACGCUAGCUAUAGGCUUAACACAUGCAAGUCGAGGGGCAGCGAAUAGAUAGCUUGCUAUUUAUGUCGGCGACCGGCGCGCGGGUGAGUAACGCGUAUCCAACCUGCCCAUAACUAAGGGAUAACCCAGCGAAAGUUGGACUAAUACCUUAUGUAUUCGUUUGAUCUCAUGAGAUUACGAAUAAAGAUUUAUCGGUUAUGGAUGGGGAUGCGUCUGAUUAGCUUGUUGGCGGGGUAACGGCCCACCAAGGCAACGAUCAGUAGGGGUUCUGAGAGGAAGGUCCCCCACAUUGGAACUGAGACACGGUCCAAACUCCUACGGGAGGCAGCAGUGAGGAAUAUUGGUCAAUGGACGCAAGUCUGAACCAGCCAAGUAGCGUGCAGGAUGACGGCCCUAUGGGUUGUAAACUGCUUUUAUAUGGGGAUAAAGUGGGGAACGUGUUCCCUUUUGCAGGUACCAUAUGAAUAAGGACCGGCUAAUUCCGUG
rnacentral:rRNA from 1 species